CUUCACCCCACUUUGGAUCUCUGGGAAUACCAGCGAACCUGACUUCUUUUUCCAGUUCUUUCCAGGACAGAGGUCUCAUUGACUUUAGGCAACAGAAAGAUUUCAGUUCAGAUCGGCAUGCAUCGAUUCCUAAUGAUAUUCAAGAAAGAAUCAUAAGCAUCAAACAAAUAAAGGAAAGACAACUCACCCCUGGUCCACCUGUGAGACAGAGUGGCCUGAGCAUCGGAAUACAGCAGCAGAAGCAGCAACGUCUUCCAACACAUCUUUUCCUCCAAAAAGGGAGACGUUGCCCUCGAACCCAAGGGGACCCCAGGAGCCACAGUGUACAUCCUUUUUAAAUCUGCAAAACUUGCCCAAAGGACCUGGCACAGACUGGAUGUUCUGAAAUUGCCCAUUGGCUAUUUGUUGAUUGAUGCUGAAGCUGAAGAAGCUUCCACUCCUCCCAUUGUCUUGCCAAGAGGACUUCCGUAAGCGAGGAGGUUGCUGAGGAGGGAAGAUGAAUAGGAACUGGCCUGGCCCCCGGGAAACCAGAACAGGAAUCAUGGUCUUGGCCUGCAGUCCUGGACUUUCUCAUCUGCAGAUGGGACUCAUCAAAUGAUCACCUACUAUCACUAGGAUGAGGAUUAGCUUUUGGACCUGGGCUGGGAACAAAUGAGUUUAUAACGCUUUUGAUUUUGUAAGAUGAUGAGCCAGGCCUUCCCUCCCACCACUUCGCCCAGCAGCAGGAGGUGAAUGUGCACAAUUUCUCCAGGAGCCUGACCGAAGUCUUGGGAAAUCCUUGCCUAAUGCACUGAUUUUUUUCUCUCUCCAUGCGUUUCUUGUUCUUGCUGCCAUUGCAUGCACACCGGUUAAGCCUGGCAAGUGAAUGCAAACACUGCUUUUUAUAACAACACAGUAAACCUACAACAGUGGAAUUUCCCAGAGCUAUCGAUUAUGUAUAAAAAACCUUUUUUUGAGGGGGAGGGAUGUUUUACUAAAAACAACAGUGUUCACGUGCAUUCUCACCUCUGAAUUCCCACUGCAUUUACCUGUGUGUCUCUCAUCAGCACCAUUUUCUAAUGUAGUGAUAUCUACUGUUUACUGAGUUCUGACCAUACACCUUAUUUUAUUUCAUUCAAUUUUCACAGUAAUUCUGUUGUUCAGUGGAUACUAUAAUAGAGUCCAUUUUACACAUGGAAAACUGCAGCUUAAAAAGGACAAAUCACACAAUAUCUGCAAGGCAGACACUUCCAUAUACUACCUACUAGGGUAGGGGCGGAGCAAAACAAACACCAUUAAAGCAGCUUCUGUAUGUUGGAAACAUGAUCAGUAGAUGGAGUACUGGGUGGGACCCACUAAUAGUGAUGGUUGUGUGUGUGUGUGUGUGUGUAAAUUCUGUUCAUUUUGAGGGCUUCUGACUCCAGCACAGAAGUGGCACAGUCUACCCACAUAUGGUUGUUAUGUACUCAUUCAUUUAUCUACUUUUAAAGCAUCUCCUCUAUGCCAGGCAAUAGAUAUAGCAAACCAAGUUAGACAUGGACCCUACCAUCAAGAAUCUUCAUUCUAGUGGGGGAAGUAGCUCCACAGAGAUUUAGAGCAUGUGAUGUUAGAUUUAAUGACAGAAGAGCCUAUGGUAGGAAAUGAGAGGGGAGGGGUGUCAAGGAAGGCUUCUUGGAGGGGUUGACACCUGAAUUAAGAUUUUAGGCAUGAGUUGGAUUUAAUUAGAUUGUGGGAGAGGGUAUGGUGAAGGAUGAGACAACCUGAAAAGUGGCACAAAGAGGGAGAGAUGAUGGGAUGUGUACAAAUAAAUAAAAGUGGCUUGGCCUUGUUGGAAGAUCGAGGAUGAGCAGGGGAAGCAGGUUGGUGGGAAGGAGAGCCCUGUGUGUUACACCUGGACUGUACCCUCCUGGGAGGGAAGCGUCAGGGAGGGCCACCUUCAGGGAAGUGGGAUGGUUUGCUUUCUAUGGGUGGAUUUGCCAGAGUAGAGAUCAGACAGGGAAGGAGCAGACGCAAGUUCUAGGGUGAGAUGGUGAGGGUCUGGAACAGGGCAGGAGCCAGUGGCAAAAGAGAGGAAGGUGCGGGUUUGAGAAAGAUUGUGGAGGUAACGGGCACUUCCCUGGUGGUCCAGUGGUUAAGACUUCAUGCUUCCAAUCCAGAGGAUGUGGGUUCAAUCCCUGAUUUGGGCUCUAAAACCCCACAUGCUGCACAGUGCAGCCCAAAAAUAGAAAAUAAAAACACACUUUAAAAAAAGAUUGAGGAGGUAAAAUCAGAAACACAUAUAAUUUCUCAGAGGAGAAGCAGAU